GUCGACGAUUUGGCGGACGGGUGAGUAAUAUAUCGGAACGUGCCCAGUAGCGGGGGAUAACUACUCGAAAGAGUGGCUAAUACCGCAUACGCCCUACGGGGGAAAGGGGGGGAUCGCAAGACCUCUCACUAUUGGAGCGGCCGAUAUCGGAUUAGCUAGUUGGUGGGGUAAAGGCUCACCAAGGCAACGAUCCGUAGCUGGUUUGAGAGGACGACCAGCCACACUGGGACUGAGACACGGCCCAGACUCCUACGGGAGGCAGCAGUGGGGAAUUUUGGACAAUGGGGGAAACCCUGAUCCAGCCAUCCCGCGUGUAUGAUGAAGGCCUUCGGGUUGUAAAGUACUUUUGGCAGAGAAGAAAAGGUAUCCCCUAAUACGGGAUACUGCUGACGGUAUCUGCAGAAUAAGCACCGGCUAACUACGUGCCAGCAGCCGCGGUAAUAAUCUCUAGA
rnacentral:rRNA from 1 species